CUGCCAGACUGUGUGGGGUACCUGGUCUUCAGGUUCUCCUGGAAGAGUGGCUGGGAGAGCAGAUGGCGUAACUCCUGCUUCAGAAUCUUCAUCUGCUUCUGUCGCCGACGCUCUUCUUGCUGGUCAGCUUUUCCUCCUUGAGACACACAAUUAUAAGAUCAUGUUUACACAGAAAUACUUUCUCUGGUUUGACAGAUCACCUAAGUGAAUAACUCCUGUUUAGGAGGGAUACAGUAGACCACUGUCCUUCACUGUUCAGGAAACCAGUAAAGACAAUUUACAGUCAUGGAGUCCAAGGCAUAUGAAGCAUAUGAGGCGGUCGGACAGAUAAGAAAGGCCCAAGGCAUCAGGCCCAUACAGAAGCAGCAGCUAUAAGACAGGAAAAGGGUACCUUGCUGCUCCUGAUGGGAUCACAGAAGCAAGGAUGGUCUCAACCAGGCCUAGGAGGCAUCUCCUUGCUGAAGGAACUGUCACUGGUGGCAGGCUUUGAGCUCACAAAAGCUGGGUACCAUUUCCAGUGUACUCUCUCUGAUUCUUAUUUGCAACAGAUCUCAGCUGCUACUCUACCCACUUCCCACCUGUUAUCUCUACUCCCUCCUCAGGAGCUCACACCUCUGGAACCAUGAGCCAAAUAAACUGUUUCUUCUCUAA